UUUGUAAAAUAAAUUCUCUUGAAUAAUAGAGAAAGGAGGGUAAGCAUUAGGAUCUCGAUGAAGAGCAGCAAGGAUAGGCCUCAAAUAUGGAUCAGCUUGAACUUCCUCAGCUAAAUUAUCCAAAUCCAUCCAUUGAGGAUGGCUCAUGGGUGAAGUUGAAAUGACUCAUCUUCCAUAUGCCUAGAUAAGGCAUCAGUUGCUGUAUUACUUUUUCCAGGCUUAUAAUCAAUGUUAAAAUGAUAACCCAAUAAUUUGAAGAGCCAACAUUGCUAUGCAGUGGUAAUAAUCUGUUGUUUUAAUAAGUGUUUGAGGCUUCUUUG
rnacentral:misc_RNA from 1 species